AUUGAACGCUGGCGGAAUGCUUUACACAUGCAAGUCGAGCGGCAGCACGGGGGCAACCCUGGUGGCGAGCGGCGAACGGGUGAGUAAUACAUCGGAACAUGCCCAGUCGUGGGGGAUAACACUUCGAAAGAAGUGCUAAUACCGCAUACGUCCUGAGGGAGAAAGCGGGGGAUCGCAAGACCUCGCGCGAUUGGAGUGGCCGAUGUCAGAUUAGCUAGUUGGUGGGGUAAAGGCCUACCAAGGCAACGAUCUGUAGCUGGUCUGAGAGGAUGAUCAGCCACACUGGGACUGAGACACGGCCCAGACUCCUACGGGAGGCAGCAGUGGGGAAUUUUGGACAAUGGGGGCAACCCUGAUCCAGCCAUUCCGCGUGAGUGAAGAAGGCCUUCGGGUUGUAAAGCUCUUUCGGCAGGAACGAAACGGCGAGCUCUAACAUAGCUUGCUAAUGACGGUACCUGAAGAAGAAGCGCCGGCUAACUACGUG
rnacentral:rRNA from 1 species